rnacentral:tRNA from 1 species
GGGUACGUAGCUUAAAGGACAAAGUAAUGGUAUCCGGAACCAUUGAUUGAGGGUUCAAGUCCCCCCGUACCCU